rnacentral:misc_RNA from 1 species
GAUGAAGAACGCAGCGAAAUGCGAUAAGUAAUGUGAAUUGCAGAAUUCAGUGAAUCAUCGAAUCUUUGAACGCACAUUGCGCCCGCCAGUAUUCUGGCGGGCAUGCCUGUUCGAGCGUCAUUUCAACCAUCAAGCCCCCGGCUUGUGUUGGGGACCUGCGGCUGCCGCAGGCCCUGAAAACCAGUGGCGGGCUCGCUAGUCACUCCGAGCGUAGUAAUACAUCUCGCUCAGGGCGUGCUGUGGGUUCCGGCCGUUAAAAGCCUUAUUUACCCAAGGUUGACCUCGGAUCAGGUAGGAAGACCCGCUGAACUUAAGCAUAUCAAUAAGCGGAGGA